GAUGAACGCUGGCGGCGUGCCUAAUACAUGCAAGUCGAGCGAACAGACGAGGAGCUUGCUCCUCUGACGUUAGCGGCGGACGGGUGAGUAACACGUGGAUAACCUACCUAUAAGUCUGGGAUAACUUCGGGAAACCGGAGCUAAUACCGGAUAAUAUAUUGAACCGCAUGGUUCAAUAGUGAAAGACGGUUUUGCUGUCACUUAUAGAUGGAUCCGCGCCGCAUUAGCUAGUUGGUAAGGUAACGGCUUACCAAGGCAACGAUGCGUAGCCGACCUGAGAGGGUGAUCGGCCACACUGGAACUGAGACACGGUCCAGACUCCUAAGGGAGGCAGCAGUAGGGAAUCGUCCGCAAAGGGCGAAAGCCUGACGGAGCAACGCCGCGUGAGUGAUGAAGGUCUUCGGAUCGUAAAACUCUGUUAUUAGGGAAGAACAAAUGUGUAAGUAACUAUGCACGUCUUGACGGUACCUAAUCAGAAAGCCACGGCUAACUACGUG
rnacentral:rRNA from 1 species